rnacentral:rRNA from 1 species
UGGGCACUCUAAGGAGACUGCCGGUGACAAACCGGAGGAAGGUGGGGAUGACGUCAAGUCAUCAUGGCCCUUACAGCCUGGGCUACACACGUGCUACAAUGGUCGGUACAGAGGGUUGCCAAGCCGCGAGGUGGAGCUAAUCCCAGAAAACCGAUCGUAGUCCGGAUCGCAGUCUGCAACUCGACUGCGUGAAGUCGGAAUCGCUAGUAAUCGCGAAUCAGAAUGUCGCGGUGAAUACGUUCCCGGGUCUUGUACACACCGCCCGUCACACCAUGGGAGUGGGUUGCACCAGAAGUAGCUAGUCUAACCUUCGGGGGGACGGUUACCACGGUGUGAUUCAUGACUGGGGUGAAGUCGUAACAAGGUAGCCGUA